GACGAACGCUGGCGGCGUGCUUAACACAUGCAAGUCGAACGGAAAGGCCCUGCUUUUGUGGGGUGCUCGAGUGGCGAACGGGUGAGUAACACGUGAGUAACCUGCCCUUGACUUUGGGAUAACUUCAGGAAACUGGGGCUAAUACCGGAUAGGAGCUCCUGCUGCAUGGUGGGGGUUGGAAAGUUUCGGCGGUUGGGGAUGGACUCGCGGCUUAUCAGCUUGUUGGUGGGGUAGUGGCUUACCAAGGCUUUGACGGGUAGCCGGCCUGGGAGGGUGACCGGCCCCAUUGGGACUGGGGUACGGCCCAGACUCCUACGGGAGGCAGCAGUGGGGGAUAUUGCACGAUGGGCGGAAGCCUGAUGCAGCAACGCCGCGUGCUGGAUGACGGCCUUCGGGUUGUAAACCGCUUUCGCCUGUGACGAAGCGUGAGUGACGGUAAUGGGUAAAGAAGCACCGGCUAACUACGUG
rnacentral:rRNA from 1 species